rnacentral:rRNA from 1 species
UACGUAGGGUGCGAGCGUUAAUCGGAAUUACUGGGCGUAAAGCGUGCGCAGGCGGUUUUGUAAGACAGGCGUGAAAAUCCCCCGGGCUCAACCUGGGAAUGGCGCUUGUGACCGCAAGGCUAGAGUGCGUCAGAGGGGGGUAGAAUUCCACGUGCAGCAGUGAAAUACGUAGAGAUGUGGAGGAAUACCGAUGGCGAAGGCAGCCCCCUGGGACGAGACUGACGCUCAUGCNCG